CUCUUUUUGGGUUCAUAAACAUGAUGGCUGGUGUUCACACUAUUAUGAUGUGUGUAUCCCUCAACCCUGUUACAAAUCUGGCAUAGUAGCACACUGACA